rnacentral:piRNA from 1 species
UCAUGUUAGCCGUAGUGCUAAGGGUAACC